rnacentral:rRNA from 1 species
GACGAACGCUGGCGGCGUGCUUAACACAUGCAAGUCGAACGGAAAGGCCCUGCUUUUGUGGGGUGCUCGAGUGGCGAACGGGUGAGUAACACGUGAGUAACCUGCCCUUGACUUUGGGUUAACUUCAGGAAACUGGGGCUAAUACCGGAUAGGAGCUCCUGCUGCAUGGUGGGGGUUGGAAAGUUUCGGCGGUUGGGGAUGGACUGGCGGCUUAUCAGCUUGUUGGUGGGGUAGUGGCUUACCAAGGCUUUGACGGGUAGCCGGCCUGAGAGGGUGACCGGCCACAUUGGGACUGAGAUACGGCCCAGACUCCUACGGGAGGCAGCAGUGGGGAAUAUUGCACAAUGGGCGGAAGCCUGAUGCAGCAACGCCGCGUGCGGGAUGACGGCCUUCGGGUUGUAAACCGCUUUCGCCUGUGACGAAGCGUGAGUGACGGUAAUGGGUAAAGAAGCACCGGCUAACUACGUG